rnacentral:rRNA from 1 species
AGUGAACGCUGGCGGUAGGCCUAACACAUGCAAGUCGAACGGCAGCACAGUAAGAGCUUGCUCUUACGGGUGGCGAGUGGCGGACGGGUGAGGAAUACAUCGGAAUCUACUUUUUCGUGGGGGAUAACGUAGGGAAACUUACGCUAAUACCGCAUACGACCUACGGGUGAAAGCAGGGGAUCUUCGGACCUUGCGCGAUUGAAUGAGCCGAUGUCGGAUUAGCUAGUUGGCGGGGUAGAGGCCCACCAAGGCGACGAUCCGUAGCUGGUCUGAGAGGAUGAUCAGCCACACUGGAACUGAGACACGGUCCAGACUCCUACGGGAGGCAGCAGUGGGGAAUAUUGGACAAUGGGCGCAAGCCUGAUCCAGCCAUACCGCGUGGGUGAAGAAGGCCUUCGGGUUGUGAAGCCCUUUUGUUGGGAGAGAAAAGCAGCAGGUUAAUACCCCGCUGUUCUGACGGUACCCAAAGAAUAAGCACCGGCUAACUUCGUG